AACAGGAUUAGAUACCCUGGUAGUCCACGCCGUAAACGAUGAGUGCUAGGUGUUAGGGGGUUUCCGCCCCUUAGUGCUGCAGUUAACGCAUUAAGCACUCCGCCUGGGGAGUACGGCCGCAAGGCUGAAACUCAAAAGAAUUGACGGGGGCCCGCACAAGCGGUGGAGCAUGUGGUUUAAUUCGAAGCAACGCGAAGAACCUUACCAGGUCUUGACAUCUUCGGAUGUCCCUAGAGAUAGGGAGUUCCCUUCGGGGACCGAAUGACAGGUGGUGCAUGGUUGUCGUCAGCUCGUGUCGUGAGAUGUUGGGUUAAGUCCCGCAACGAGCGCAACCCUUGAUCUUAGUUGCCAGCAUUCAGUUGGGCACUCUAAGGUGACUGCCGGUGACAAACCGGAGGAAGGUGGGGAUGACGUCAAAUCAUCAUGCCCCUUAUGACCUGGGCUACACACGUGCUACAAUGGAUGGUACAGAGGGAAGCAAAACCGCGAGGUCAAGCCAAUCCCAUAAAACCAUUCUCAGUUCGGAUUGUAGGCUGCAACUCGCCUACAUGAAGCCGGAAUCGCUAGUAAUCGUGGAUCAGCAUGCCACGGUGAAUACGUUCCCGGGCCUUGUACACACCGCCCGUCACACCACGAGAGUUGGCAACACCCGAAGUCGGUGGGGUAACCAUUUGGAACCAGCCGCCGAAGGUGGGGCAGAUGAUUGGGGUGAAGUCGUAACAAGGUAACC
rnacentral:rRNA from 1 species